rnacentral:rRNA from 1 species
GAUGAACGCUGGCGGCGUGCCUAAUACAUGCAAGUCGAGCGAACAGACGAGGAGCUUGCUCCUCUGACGUUAGCGGCGGACGGGUGAGUAACACGUGGAUAACCUACCUAUAAGACUGGGAUAACUUCGGGACACCGGAGCUAAUACCGGAUAAUAUAUUGAACCGCAUGGUUCAAUAGUGAAAGACGGUUUUGCUGUCACUUAUAGAUGGAUCCGCGCCGCAUUAGCUAGUUGGUAAGGUAACGGCUUACCAAGGCAACGAUGAGUAGCCGACCUGAGAGGGUGAUCGGCCACACUGGAACUGAGACACGGUCCAGACUCCUACGGGAGGCAGCAGUAGGGAAUCUUCCGCAAUGGGCGAAAGCCUGACGGAGCAACGCCGCGUGUGUGAUGAAGGUCUUCGGAUCGUAAAGCUCUGUUAUUAGGGAAGAACAAAUGUGUAAGUAACUAUGCACGUCUUGACGGUACCUGAUCAGAAAGCCACGGCUAACUACGUG